UACACCAAACCCUAAGGUGGGUAGUUUUCUACCUCGCCGCCGUAUCUCUCUAGUCUUCGCAUCGCCUCGGUUUCUUUGUCCUCCUCUUCAAAUUAGGUUACGUUCUAUUUGCAAGCGGCGACACCGUUUGUGGAAGAGACAGGUCUUCUUUCGAGUCGCGGCGAAUGCUGCCCGCUCUGCAGGAUGGUUCGCCAUCUUCAAUGAAUCGCAACAGAGAGAAGCUCAAAUGAAAACAGGGUGAUGCUUUAGAAAGAAUUUUCUAGUCAUUCCUAGAGCACACUUCACACAUAGACGUAGAAUCCUUCUUUGGUAGGACUACUUUUGAACUGAAUGUCUAAUGGUCUGUGAGUUAGGAUGUUCAAUUUCUUAACCAUUUCUGGCUGAUAACAUUUGUUUGGCAAACUAACGAUUCCAAGAGCUUACAUGGCAUAUCAAGAGACCUAUUCUUUGAAGAACAUGGGACAGGGUCUCUCGAUGUGAUGAGCAUGUGCAAAAAAUUCCCGGCACUCGCUUUUCAAAGGCGUUACAUCCAUGGUAUAUUUGACUUUACAAUGGAUGUGUCAACGAAAGCGUAAAUUAAUAUGUUUUACUGGCACACGCAGGACUACAUGAACAGAAGCAGGCUGGAUGUGGUUACUAAGUUCCUGCUUGUGGAUAUUUACUAUAUUUUGUGAAGCUUAACACUUUGUAUCCGACAUUGUUAAUUUAUUUCUGGAUGAUGAGAAGUAGAUGCACUUCUAUUAAUUUCAGCUGGUUUAGGACAUAAUACGUGUUAGUUUCCUGUUCUCAGUUUUUUUGUGAGGCAAGGUCUAUUUUAAGUUUUAAGUUUUCUAUUUGGCUGUCAUUGGUAUUUGAGGUUGUUGUUACAGCAUUUCUUUAGAUGUUGUGGGACUUGACGUCUGCCCCCAUUGGUGUUUAUUUGUACCAUUGGGAUGAAUCGGUGGUCCCUGACAUGAAAUUAUCAUCAUCUUCACUUUGUCAGCUAAUCUAGUUUUUUCCUUUAGCUGAUCAUUAAUGAUGAAAUAUUUCAUAUAUACCAAAACUGAAAUAGAUAGUGUGGGUUGAUUGACUUCAUGAACUGUUAUGCAUGAGGCAUAAGACUGUCUCAUUGAGAUUUAUGCCAAUUUACUUUAAAAGAUCCUUCAUGUAAGUUUUAAGAAUGUAAUUGGAUUUAAGCAUGGAGAUUUUACAAGUUAUAUUUUCUAGGCUUUGAGGAAUAUUGUGGUUGUCCAAAAGAGAAUAAACGUAACUUUCAGAUCAA